rnacentral:rRNA from 1 species
UGGAGAAUCUUGCACAAUGGGGGAAACCCUGAUGCAGCAACGCCGCGUGAGCGAAGAAGGCCUUUGGGUCGUAAAGCUCUGUCCUAAGGGAAGAUAAUGACGGUACCUUAGGAGGAAGCCCCGGCUAACUACGUGCCAGCAGCCGCGGUAAUACGUAGGGGGCAAGCGUUAUCCGGAAUUAUUGGGCGUAAAGAGUACGUAGGUGGUUUACUAAGCGCAGGGUUUAAGGCAAUGGCUCAACUAUUGUUCGCCCUGUGAACUGGUUAACUUGAGUGCAGGAGGGGAAAGCGGAAUUCCUAGUGUAGCGGUGAAAUGCGUAGAUAUUAGGAGGAACACCAGUGGCGAAGGCGGCUUUCUGGACUGUAACUGACACUGAGGUACGAAAGCGUGGGGAGCAAACA